rnacentral:rRNA from 1 species
UGAGUAACCUGCCCCAAACUCUGGGAUAAGCACUGGAAACGGUGUCUAAUACCGGAUACGAGCUUCAGCCGCAUGGCUAGGAGUUGGAAAGAAUUUCGGUUUGGGAUGGACUCGCGGCCUAUCAGCUUGUUGGUGGGGUGAUGGCCUACCAAGGCGACGACGGGUAGCCGGCCUGAGAGGGUGACCGGCCACACUGGGACUGAGACACGGCCCAGACUCCUACGGGAGGCAG